rnacentral:lncRNA from 1 species
GCUAAAGAAAAUUGUUGAUUGUUUACACCAAGUACUUCUAUUUCCACAAGUGCACGGUAUACCACCUUCCAUUUUGUAAAAGCAAGCUCUGUGAAGUGGAAAUUCUACAGGCAACAGUGGAAAAGGCCCACUUUCAUCUCAAGGCAUGCCUGCCCUGAUGAUCAAGCACACUUACCACACAAAUCCUCCAAGCCCGAACCACAGCGUGAAACUCGCGCUGGGUCAGGCGCCACGGACCUCAAGGGGAGAGAGGAACAAGUGUCGAAACCCAGCCCCACCCAAGGAGACCCUCCUACCAAUCAGCUGAGCUACAUCCUCAAUGUCAGGGCACGGCCAGGACUGUGACACGACGUCAUUGUGGCCACUGUGUUCUCUUCUAAUACCCUGCCUCUCCAGGCAAAACGCCAAGGGCAAGGGUAGGAGAGAAAUUCCGCUGCAAAACUCCACAGUCAGCCAAAGCAAGGUAUGUGUGCCCCUGCCUCAUGGUGUUCACAGUCCUUUGUGAAGAUACUUGGAAUCUCCAAGAGGAGAAGAAGAGUGACAGCAGUGGUAAAACUGAGGUGAGAGUGUAAGAUGUGGUCUUGGAACCUCCCUCCUUAGCCCCCCUCCUGAACCUGAACAGCCCCAUCCGGUACAACACCAUGAGUUACAACUGUGGUGUGCAUUAUUCAUGGAAGGGCAAGCUUCAUUCUGAUUAUAGAUAUUCAAAAGCAUCAGGCACAGUUAAGAGGACUUAGGUGAAACUCUUCAUGU